rnacentral:rRNA from 1 species
UACGGAGGGUGCAAACGUUGCUCGGAAUCAUUGGGCGUAAAGCGCACGUAGGCGGCGAAACAAGUUGGGUGUGAAAGCCCUGGGCUCAACCCAGGAAGUGCAUUCAAAACUGUUUCGCUUGAAUCUCGGAGGGGGUCAGAGAAUUCCCGGUGUAGAGGUGAAAUUCGUAGAUAUCGGGAGGAAUACCAGUGGCGAAGGCGCUGACCUGGACGAAGAUUGACGCUGAGGUGCGAAAGCGUGGGGAGCAAACAGG